rnacentral:rRNA from 1 species
GGUACCCUUGGAAGAAGCCCCGGCUAACUACGUGCCAGCAGCCGCGGUAAAACUUAGGGGGCGAGCGUUAUUCGGAAUUAUUGGGCGUAAAGCGCUCGUAAGCGGGACUGAAAGUCCGUGAGGAAAGACCUGGGCUCAACUCAGGGAACUGCAUCGAUACUUCAGUUCUUGAGUGAAUCAGAGGGUGAUGGAAUUCCCGGUGUAGCAGUGAAAUGCGUAUAUAUCGGGAGGAACACCAGUGGCGAAGGCGAUCACCUGGGGUUAUUCUGACGCUGAGGAGCGAAAGCUAGGGGAGCAAACGGGAUUAGAUACCCCGGUAGUCCUAGCCGUAAACGAUGGAUACUAGGUGUAUGUGGUAUCAACUCCAUAUGUGCCGUAGUUAACACAUUAAGUAUCCCGCCUGGGGAGUACGGCCGCAAGGUUAAAACUCAUAGGAAUUGACGG